rnacentral:rRNA from 1 species
GCUUAACACAUGCAAGUCGAACGCAUCCUUCGGGGUGAGUGGCAGACGGGUGAGUAACGCGUGGGAAUCUACCCAUCUCUACGGGAUAGCUCCGGGAAACUGGAAUUAAUACCGUAUACGUCCUCCGGGAGAAAGAUUUAUCGGGGAUGGAUGAGCCCGCGUUGGAUUAGCUAGUUGGUGGGGUAAAAGCCUACCAAGGCGACGAUCCAUAGCUGGUCUAAGAGGAUGAUCAGCCACAUUGGGACUGAGACACGGCCCAAACUCCUACGGGAGGCAGCAGUGGGGAAUAUUGGACAAUGGGCGCAAGCCUGAUCCAGCCAUGCCGCGUGAGUGAUGAAGGCCCUAGGGUUGUAAAGCUCUUUCACCGGUGACGAUAAUGACGGUAACCGGAGAAGAAGCC